AAGUCGUAACAAGGUUUCCGUAGGGUGAGUCUUUUGUCCCCCUGCUACGAUGUUAACGAUUAUAUGUACUGACCAUUUUUUAGUGAACCUGCGGAAGGAUCAUUAUCGAGCAAGGGUGUUUUACGCCCGACCUCCCAACCCUUUGUGUAUUGAACUUGUGUUGCUUCGGCGGACCCGUCCCUGAGGGACCGCUGGAGGACCGCCGAGAGGCGCUCCUCUGGCCCGCGUCCGUCGACGGCCCAAACCCCCAAAACUCUUGCCUAAAUCAUGUCAUGAAUGUCUAAGUGAUACACAAAUAAAAAGCAAAAAACUUUCAACAACGGAUCUCUUGGUUCUG
rnacentral:misc_RNA from 1 species